GUGUGCUAGCUUAGUGUACAGAACAGAAUGAGCAUGAGUGAAGUUUUGAUGUUGCAAAACUUGUGUAGAUUGAGAGACGUGGACUCCCUUUGACACCGGAGUCAUUGGCGAGUAUUCCGCCUUUUGCAUCCAUAACAUUCAAUACUGAUGAUGGUAAUGGUGGAGAUUGCAAGCCUGAAGUAGCUAAGACUGGUUUGGGCUCAUCUGCUGCUAUGACAACUGCUGUAGUUGGUGCUUUACUUCAUUACCUUGGGUAGCGUUUGUUUCGGAGACAGGACACAGAGACAUGGACAGCACAUCUUUAAAAAGCGUUUGGAAGCAAAGACAUGGACACUGAACAUAUUGUCUCCGGGACAGUUUUUUAUACUUUUGUGUCCACUCUUUUACGAAGGACAAUGAUGGACACGGGAUUUGGAAGAGGGACACGGACUGUUUUUAUGAAUUUUUUUCUUUUUUGUCCAUGGUGCUAUUUUUUAUUAUUCCACUGUUACUCCUUCUUAUUUUUCUUAUUUUGCGUUGUUCUCAGAAAGUACUUUUUUUUUUUUUCUCCAUGCUCUUUUUCUAUUUCUAUGUUUUCCUUCUUUCUAUUUUUUUUCUUUAGGUACUUUCUCUUUUUUAUAGAAAUUUUUAUUGGACUGGCUAGUUUCUUUUUUCUUAUCAUUCUUACUUCAACAUCAUUUUAACCUUAUAUUAUAUUAUUUGAUUUGUAAUAAAAAUAAUAACAAAAAUAAUUAGUAAUAAAUUUAAAAAUAAAAUAAUUAUAUUUAUAAAUUUUAUUUUAAUAUAAAUACUAUUAUAUAAUUUUUUAUUAAAAUUUUUGACUGCUUCAAAUAUUUUUUUCAAGUUCCUACUGUCUGUACUCCUAUGUACUCUCAUUCUUUAUUAAAUUAGUUUAUAUUAAAAAAUUUGGAAUCACAUGGCUAUUUUGGUCAUUUCAUAUAAUAUUUUAGUCUUGUCCAUGUGUAUCCAAACAUAAUACUGGACAUUACAUUAGUGUCAUAUCCAUCGUAUCCAAACACGAUACACAAAACAUAAUUUUUAAUAUUUCUGUCCUAUUGUCUUUGUUUUAGUGUCCUGUUCUGUCGUGUCUCUACAAACAAACACUACCUUGGUGUCAUAAAGCUUUCCUCUUCUAAAGAUCAACAGGAUAGGAAGGAUUACACAGAUAUUGAUUUGUUGCAUAAAAUAGCUCAAACUGCUCAUUGUAUUGCCCAAGGAAAAGUUGGCAGUGGGUUUGAUGUUAGUUCAGCUGUGUAUGGCAGUCAACGUUAUGUGCGGUUUUCACCGGAAGAAAUGUUUUCACCGGAAGUGAUUUCUUCCGUACAAGUAUUCAGCACUUACCCUUUUAAUGUGUCUUGUGUUUUAGGCAAAAAAUGCUUUAAUUAUGUUGUUUUGCUGACAUUGCAGGUUGCAGCACAAGCAUUGCCUGCACCAGAAGUUAUCAGUGACAUUCUGAAUGGAAACUGGGACCAUGAGAGGACUGAGUUCUCUAUACCACCUUUGAUGACUCUGGUAAGCAAUUUAAAUCUCUUAUACCCCCACAUUUUCCUUUUACUUCAG
rnacentral:lncRNA from 1 species